GCUGAAGACGACUUGAGGAAGUUCUCCCAGUCCCUGAGACCCUAACUUGUGAGUCCAUCCUCUUUUAAAUAUCACAAGUUAGGUUCUUGGGAUCUGGGCGGACGACACUAUCAACCUCAUUCCUG
rnacentral:precursor_RNA from 17 species